rnacentral:tRNA from 6 species
GCCGGAAUAGCUCAGUCGGUAGAGCAGAGGACUGAAA